UGUAAGUGCCGGCUUUCCUUGACUGAUGGUUCUGGGAAAAAAAUUACUCACUGACUGGAAAUUGGUUGUUAUCUUUGAGAAAAGAAGCAUUUACUGCUUGGGGGAUUUAAGAUUGGGUCCAAAAGCUAUCAUCCGUAUUCUUGAUAAAUGAUCACAUAUUUUAGAAGAUGAAUACAUCUUUGUUCAUAUAGACAACAUUUCCUGACAAAUCCGAAGAAGACCAAGUUUCUGUGCACACAGUUUGCAGUCUUGUGGGCUUCAUGGAUGCAGCCCUUGCCUCCUCAGCACAGACUCCUCAAUCAUGACAUGAGAGGAUACGCUUUCAGCAUCCAUCUUUGACUGGAACCAUUCCAGUGACAAGAGAGAUAAUUACAAUGGCGAGAAACCCAAUUGAAAACCUGGCUUCGUGGGCUGGGAUGCAGACAAAGCAUUGCAAUAGCCCAGUGCCUCCGUGAAGGCUGUAUUUCACAUCCCAACAACACGGAACAAAUUGCACAAACGCAAGGAAUUAGAUCCCUUGGUAACAAAUAUUGAAGUCACUUUUUAAAAUGUCACCAAAUGGCUCUGUUAACUCUGUUUUGUAACAAGUGAGAGGCAGAUGGCACUUUGAAGUGUAUGAUGCAUCUUGGAAGAGCAAAAUUGCUCAGGCAUUUUUGUCUAGUUUGCUAAGAUGGAGUGACGAUGCCCCAGAUGAAAGGCGCUUGGCAUGCCCUCACACAAAAGGCUGAGUACCACUGAGGAUCACACUGUUCGCUGUAAGUUGAGUUUCCUGAAGGCUUACAAACUUGCUGAAUGAAAGUUGCAAAGCAAGGGGCUGCAGGGGGUGAGGGGAGAAAGUUCCCAUCUUCUAAAUGCCUACAAUGCUUUUCAUGUAGUUGGUGACAAUUAUACAGCUUAUUUAAUUCUCUGCAAUU
ensembl:antisense Gm15866 predicted gene 15866